GACGAACGCUGGCGGCGUGCUUAACACAUGCAAGUCGAACGGAAAGGCCCUGCUUUUGUGGGGUGCUAGAGUGGCGAACGGGUGAGUAACACGUGAGUAACCUGCCCUUGACUUUGGGAUAACUUCAGGAAACUGGGGCUAAUACCGGAUAGGAGCUCCUGCUGCAUGGUGGGGGUUGGAAAGUUUCGGCGGUUGGGGAUGGACUUGCGGCUCAUCAGCUUGUUGGUGGGGUAGUGGCUUACCAAGGCUUUGACGGGUAGCCGGCCUGAGAGGGUGACCGGCCACAUUGGGACUGAGAUACGGCCCAGACUCCUACGGGAGGCAGCAGUGGGGAAUAUUGCACAAUGGGCGGAAGCCUGAUGCAGCAACGCCGCGUGCGGGAUGACGGCCUUCGGGUUGUAAACCGCUUUCGCCUGUGACGAAGCGUGAGUGACGGUAAUGGGUAAAGAAGCACCGGCUAACUACGUG
rnacentral:rRNA from 1 species